AAUAAACUUAAUUUCUUGUUUUUGGAAGAGACGAGAACAUUAAAAGCUGAACCGAAGAUCCGAAGCCUUCACUUCCCCAUGCAGUUUCAAAAUAUUUUUGUUGUCAUAGUAAAGAUUGUCUAUGUUGGACAUCUUUUUUUAUCAAAGCAGUUUUGUUUCCCUUUGUUCCUUUGAAGAAAGGCUGGAUCUCUGUGUUUGGAACAGGACUAAACAAAACCCCACUAUUAGCAGUGUGUGUGUGUGGUUAUAAUGCUGACGCUUAUUGGUCUGACAGAGUAAACACUUUUAUUGUCCUGUACAUACUCAAUGAAAGCUGUUUACAGAUAGCGGUGAGCCAUUGAACUCAUCAACUAUUAAGUAACUCAGAUUGUAUUUGGUCAAACUGGAAGCUCUUAGCUAUAAGUGAUUGUUUUGAAGGCUGUUAUUAGAUUAAGCUACAUUGUUUUGCUUACACAGGAGUAAUACGGAAUAGAAAGGAAGAAAAAGUUUUGCUUCCCUCAUCGUAUGAAUUAGUCAUAUUAAACUCUCAGUCACAAGAAGUUUUUUAGACUACAUCAUUAUCUUUGAGGACCGCUGCAUUUUUGGACUUGGAGACAAAAUGUACUUUAUGGGAUAAAAGCCAAGCUAUUUUCCUGACAGGGAGGACACGAACUAGGGUAUUACAGGGAUGAGAGGAGGAUAUUCCCAACAGAUUGAAAUUACAGGAGCGUUUGAAAUGGCCACUUGUGUCAGUGGAAUCUGAUUGGAGGGUCUACAGGAAGUGCUUGAGAAAAUCCAAUGGACACUGUGUUCUUCUACUGGGAUAUUUGAACCAUCCGUGCCAUUUCCUGCCCACACUUCAGAGAGGGAGUGAGGGGAACAUUCCAGGGUGUUUCUGUCUAGACAUUGGUAGACCUUUUCUAAAAGAUUUCAUCUUUAAAUCUUUUGUGAAAAUACAGAGCCAGCAGUGAAUCGUUGUUGAGUUUUUUUUUGUCCAACCGGCUGCCACACUAAUUUGGAGUUUUAUUUGAAUAAUUUGUGUGCAAACACACAUUGCAAAUACUGCAGACGUAUGUUGGAUUGGAUAUCCCAUCCUUAAUGUGACUAGAAAUCUACACGGUGUGACAGAAUUGACAGACGGUACUUAAAUGCUUAUAUCUUAGAGAUGUGAAUUUUCUUAUUAAUGACGGAAUUCAGAGUCAAAUGUACACUGGUAAAGAGAAAUACUGAUACAGGAGGAGUUAUGGAGCAUUUCUUUUUUUAAAACAAUUCUGAGGCAUUGUGAGCAUCACCACAUGAUUCUGUUCUGCUUUUGGAGUUUUGACUGCAUCAACCCUGGCACAAUGAAACCGGUCUGUGCCAGUGCAUUGUUGAUAGUAACCCUUGCAGUGCUGACAACUGCUUGACCAGUGACAUGCUCUCUGUCUAAAAUCUGGGGCCCAGGGGCCGAUCACAGAGGCUGCCAUGGAAACCAGUAGUACAUGUGACAACAUGACUGUGCUUACGCAUGAUUGGCCAGUCCAAAUGUCCACAUACUGCGAGCAGUUUGACUGUGUGGAUGGGGUAGGAAAUUAUGAUAUUGUGAAUAAUGUCAUUAUUCCAACCUCAGGAACAGCAGACCCCAGGCCACAGAAUUCAUUGCGGCAGAGCUGGGAAAUGAACUACCAGGAAGCAGCAAUAUACCUGCAGGAAGGAGAGAAUAAUGACAAGUUUUUUACUCAUCCACGGAGUGCCAACGCACUCAGUGCCUACCUGUUCGCCCAUAAUCAUCUCUUCUACAUGAUGGAGCUGCUGACUGCAGUGUUACUCAUGCUACUGUCUCUCGCCGAGGCACCUGCCGUCCCUUUUCUCCGCCUAGAUGUCUAUGUUCACGCUACGCUGGAGUUGCUGGCGUUGGCGAUGGUGGCCUUUGAGUUGUGUAUGAAGCUCCGAUGGCUUGGCUUUCACACCUUCAUACGACAUAAAAGGACCAUGGUGAAGACAAGUGUCCUGUUUCUUCAGUUCGUUGAGGCGAUUGUGGUCUUAGUUCGGCAGACGUCCCACCUGCGUGUAACAAGAGCCUUGCGGCCCAUCUUUCUGGUGGACUGCAGAUACUGUGGAGCUGUUCGCAGAAACCUGCGGCAGAUAUUUCAGUCUCUUCCGCCCUUCAUGGAUAUCCUCCUCCUGCUGCUUUUCUUCAUGGUCAUCUUUGCCAUUCUGGGAUUUUGUCUGUUCUCCAGCAACCCGGCCGACCCUUAUUUCAACACACUGGAGAACAGCAUUGUGAGUCUGUUCGUCCUUCUGACCACUGCAAAUUUCCCAGAUGUGAUGAUGCCGGCAUAUUCAAAGAAUCGCUGGUCGUGCAUUUUCUUCAUCGUGUAUCUGUCCAUCGAGCUCUACUUUAUCAUGAAUCUGCUCCUGGCGGUAGUUUUUGACACCUUUAAUGGAGUUGAGAAAAUGAAGUUUAAAUCUCUGCUUCUGCACAAGCGAUCUGCCAUCGAGCAUGCUUUCCAGCUGCUGGUUAGUCGACAGAGGCCGGAUGGAGUGUCUUUGAAGCAGUUUGACGGACUAAUGCGAUUCUAUCGUCCACGAAUGGCCGCGCGGGAUCGUUUCCUCACUUUUAAGGCCCUGAACCAAUCAGGUGCAACCAUGUUGAGUCUCUCAGACUUUUAUAAGUUUUAUGAGGUGAUCGGGCUCAAAUGGAAGGCUCGACGGAGUGGCGAAUACUGGUUCGAUGAUCUUCCUCGUACUGCAUUCCUCAUUUUCAAAGGAAUAAAUUUACUUGUGAAAUCCAAAGCCUUCCAGUAUGCAAUGUAUCUGGUAGUAGCGAUUAAUGGAAUCUGGAUCUUGGUUGAGACGAACAUGUUAAACGAUGGAGUCUCAUGGACACGUGUUGUUCCCUGGAGUUACAUUGUCUUCCUCACAAUUUAUGGGAUCGAGGUCUUGUUGAAGCUCACAGGUCUUGGUCCUAUGACAUAUUUCAGUUUAGGAUGGAACCUUUUUGAUUUCUCAGUAACUGUCUUUGCCUUUCUGGGAUUGAUUGCUUUGGCCUUCGACAUGGAGCCAUUCUACUUUGUUGUGGUGUUGAGACCUCUUCAGCUUCUCCGGUUGUUUAAAAUCAAGCAGCGUUAUCGAAAUGUUCUGGACACAAUGUUUGAACUCUUCCCACGCAUGGCCAGUCUAGGUCUGACUCUGAUUAUCUUCUAUUAUUCCUUUGCCAUCGUUGGAAUGGAGUUUUUCGCCGGUGUCGUUUAUCCAAACUGCUGCAACACGAGCACCGUUGCUGACGCAUAUCGGCAGAUUAAUGUAACGGUUGGCAACCGGACAGUGCUGGAGGAGGGAUAUUACUAUCUGAAUAACUUCAAUAACAUCCUGAGCAGCUUUGUCACUUUAUUUGAACUAACAGUGGUGAACAACUGGUACAUCACUAUGGAAGGCAUUACGUCCCAAACCAGCCACGGGAGUCGCCUCUAUUUCAUGACCUUUUACAUUGUCACCAUGGUCGUAAUGACAAUAAUUGUGGCCUUCAUCCUGGACGCAUUCGUCUUCAGAAUGAACUACAGUCGGAAAAACAGAGAGCCAUUGGGAGACCCCGAAGAGGAGAAAGGGAUUGUAUUUGAGACCGAGGUGUCACAGACCGAAGCUCUUCAGACUAUGGACUUGUAUAGACACACGCUACGCAUCACAAACCUAAGCUCACUUCAGAGCAUGUAUGCGGCUCUGGAGCGGUGCGGGCAACCCUCACUAGUGUUUUUGGGGCGAAGGUCACGUACCAAGAGCGACCUCAGCAUGAAGAUGUAUGAGGAAGAGAUUCAGGAAUGGUAUGAAGAAUUUUCCAGAACAAACCUUCAACCUGAUGAGACAUUCCAACAAAGUCUGAACAGCCCUGAAGUCAGCACAACAGACAGCAUUAAUUAACUCCAACACACUAUGAACCAAAAGCAUUAACUAACACACUCACUCAUACCUCUGAGAGACACUGGGGAUCGUCUUCCUCCCAUUGAUGGACACUGGUGCUCACCGUGGCAACUCUUUUCUCCCCCCUUCCACAUGGAGACCCAUAGAAAAUCUUCACUUAAAGCCUUAUUCCCUCCCCAAAAAUGGUUCCAUGGCCAAUCAGGGAAGCUUUAAGAGCAAUCAUGUGACAUGCACUAUAUGUCCAGGAACCUUUUUUCCACACGAAUGCACAUCAUGACAUUUGCCUUGUUUUGGAUGACCCUGAACGAUUCAGACUCUGGUGGUUUUGACAACUGAGACAAGUGACUGAAUGUUUUUCUGAGAGAUGAAUCAAAACUGAAUGUGAGGAUUAUAGCACUCCAGAGUCCGAGGAUUGUGGGUGAUUAAUGGCACGAAGGAUACAGUUCAUGCAUCCUUUAAAAGUGGCCGAAUGAAGGGCACGAAACAUAGGCUGCCUUCGAAGCAUCCUUCAGAUUGAGAUGUCCUUCGGCGAAGCGUGAUGACGUGGCAGCCGAAAUAUGCAGCCUUCCUAUGACGCAUCCUCACGUUUGAGAAACAAAAUGCGCUCUAUAGUAGGGCUUUGACGAUUAUGACUUUUGUAAGGUUUACUUGGCAGUAAAUAUUAAUACACAUAACACACAUUUAAAAGUUAUAUGAUACUGUCUCUGUCUUGUAUGCUGCAGCUCCCCCUUGUGUUUUUUAGAGAGAUGUGCAAUAAUUGCGGUGAUCUAAAAUCAUCACGAUGAGGUCAAACAAUCGCGAUGAGACGAUUAUUUAAUCAUUGUGACAGCCCUACUUUAUAGAACAGUUUGUCCAUUUUCGGGCUACUGUAGAAACAUGGCUCCAACUUUCAUGUAAGGAGACCUGCGGUUUAUGUAGAUAAAAACGGCUCAUUGUAAGGUUAUAAAAACAAAACAGUUCAUUAUGUAAGGUCUUUAUAUGCCACUGAUAAUAUAGUUAUGUGUAUUAUAUUGCAUUUUUGUCAGGAGAUCCUUCUAAAAGUCGCACAUUGCACCUUUAAAAAACAAUACAUCCACUGACAUUUUGUACUGAUGAGUGAUAGAAAAUCUGUCCUGGGCCUUUCAGUUCAUUCAAAAUGUUAUGUUUAUUUUAUGUUUGUCAUCCUAUUCUCAUGUUUUUAAUCCUCAUCUACAAACGCUCUGCCUUUUGUUUGGUAUAUAUUUUGGACUGUCGUAAUGACAGUGUUAAGUUUUACCCAAGACUAUAGUCUGAAUAAUAUUGUUCUCCAGAUUUACUACAAGUCUGUCCUUAAAUCUAAAUUUUCCUCUAAAAAGUGUUUCAAAACUAAUGUUAUUUAUUAAUAGUAAGAUAAGCAAUAGUAUUACAUGUAUUACACUGUAAAAAAAAUGCAGCAUGAGGUUAAAUCAACUUGGUUUUGUAAGUCAAUUCAACCUACUAUUUUUAAUUUUGACCUUUGAUAAGUUUACAACUUAUAGUUGAAAUUGUUUAACUUUAUUUUUAGUUUAAGUAACCAUAAAAGUAUUUGUUGAUUUAACAAAAAAUACUGCAUUUGUUUACAUUGUACCUGCAUUGUUGUGAUAUGUUAUUUAAUAAGAAUUAUUUGAGUUUACCAAGAUAUUAAUACGUUUUUACUUCCGACAUGGGCGUUCACUCAUGAUGGUUAUUUUUAGCACAAAUUGUUGGUUGUUUAAUUGCCCUGUAAGAUACACAGCCUAAAUGCUCCAAAUGUAAAGGAACAUGCUGCAUACAUGGCAAAAGCAACCCCACACCAGCUCCUCAUACUGUUGGAUGUAUCCGUCUCUGUGCUCUGUCUUUUUGUACAUGUACAAUAUAAUAACAAAGAUCUAGUAAAAGAUGCAUUUUAAUGAA